GUAACAUACCAGUUCUGCUGCUGAAAACAGCUUGAAGAAAUUUUACUUACCAUUCUGA
rnacentral:snoRNA from 15 species